UUUUAACUUAAAAAAAAACUUAAAACGGACUUAAAAUGGCAUAAUUCUGUCUAAAAAAGUUUGAAUUCAAAAUUAAAGUCAUAAUUGUACAUAGAUUUGUCUAUAAUCCUUGCUUAUGUAUGCAAAAAUUUGAUGAUUUGUCCUCUGGGCCUCAAACUGUUAUUUAAAAGAAACCAUCUGAGAACUUUAGAGGGAAAAUCUCUAUUAAACUGCUAACAACUGAUAGACAUCUGAAACAUGACAAGGAGCACCAACUAGAGGUCACAAGCCAAACUGGUUGGGAACCACCUGUUUGUAACUGUUAAUCCUCCUCUCACUCUAUCCCAGUUUGACCCUUCCUAUUCAUAUUAACAUAGACCAUGAUUAUGAGUUCAAUAGAGAAGAUGGGAAUCAAAACUUUUGAAUGCAAAUACUGAAAGGUUUUUAUAGCUGAUACUUGAACUGUGAACAACAAAAUGAUAAGCAUGUGCAAAAGUCACAUGUCGGUCAGUCAAACAGAAGAUAAAACACUAUCAAUAUGGGAAUUAAUAACUCAAUAAUACUGUAGAUGAACCUACAUCCUACUUGGUACACAUUGAAUGUAACCUUCAACUGAUUUACUAUUGAAGAAGAUUCAUGUUAACCAAUGUCAGUAUGAGACAGAUCACAGGACCAUUUUACAUGUCUGAGUUUUUGUUUUUAUUUGACUGAAUUGAACAUGAGAUCAGUCCGAGUGUGUAAAGUGUGGAGCUGAAGGCGGUUCAGUGUGUUGAGUGGACUGCUGUGGUGCUGGAGCUUCCUCACAUCAUGACUGCUUGUGUGAUGCUACUACUGGCUUUGUGUGGUUCGGUUGACGUCCACUCUCAGGGGCUCCA